UGGCGGCGUGCUUAACACAUACAAGUUGAACGGGGUACUUUGGGUUUACUCAGAGUACUUAGUAGCGGACGGGUGAGUAACGCGUGAGCAACCUACCUUUGUGAGGGGGACAACAGCUGGAAACGGCUGCUAAUACCGCAUAAGGCCACGGCCUCGAGUGAGGCAGAGGUAAAAGAUUUAUCGCACAAAGAUGGGCUCGCGUCCCAUUAGCUAGUUGGUGAGGUAACGGCCCACCAAGGCAUCGAUGGGUAGCCGACCUGAGAGGGUGAUCGGCCACACUGGAACUGAGACACGGUCCAGACUCCUACGGGAGGCAGCAGUGGGGAAUAUUGGGCAAUGGGCGCAAGCCUGAUCCAGCAACGCCGCGUGAGGGAAGAAGGUCUUCGGAUUGUAAACCUCUGUCCCCCGGGACGAAAAAAAUGACGGUACCGGGGGAGGAAGCUCCGGCUAACUACGUGCCAGCAGCCGCGGUAAUACGUAGGGAGCGAGCGUUGUCCGGAAUUACUGGGCGUAAAGGGUGCGUAGGCGGCAUGGCAAGUCAG
rnacentral:rRNA from 1 species